AUUGAACGCUGGCGGCAGGCCUAACACAUGCAAGUCGAGCGGGGUUUUCGGACCUAGCGGCGGACGGGUGAGUAAUGCGUAGGAAGCUACCCGAUAGAGGGGGAUACCAGUUGGAAACGAUUGUUAAUACCGCAUAAUGUCUACGGACCAAAGUGUGGGACCUUCGGGCCACAUGCUAUCGGAUGCGCCUACGUGGGAUUAGCUAGUUGGUGGGGUAAUGGCUCACCAAGGCGACGAUCCCUAGCUGGUUUGAGAGGAUGAUCAGCCACACUGGAACUGAGACACGGUCCAGACUCCUACGGGAGGCAUCAGUGGGGAAUAUUGGACAAUGGGCGCAAGCCUGAUCCAGCCAUGCCGCGUGUGUGAAGAAGGCCUUCGGGUUGUAAAGCACUUUCAGUAGGGAGGAAGAGUUGAGUGUUAAUAGUACUCAGCUUUGACGUUACCUACAGAAGGAGCACCGGCUAACUCUGUGCCAGCAGCCGCCGUAACAC
rnacentral:rRNA from 1 species